AGCAGUUUUGAAGCUAUCGUUAUGCGCAACUGUUGCUGAAGUUGUUGGAGCUGGUUUUGCCGUUGUUGAAUAGGUGUUGGAUUAUUGUUUGAGUUACUUUUUUAUACGUCGUUUUGCAUAUUGUACGCUGGUAUGCUGAUGUUAACAACUGAUCAAGAGGAAAGGAGAAGGGAAAAUUUCAGAAAUAGCAACUCUGUAGCCUUAAUUA
rnacentral:lncRNA from 1 species